UGGGGAAUAUUGCGCAAUGGGCGAAAGCCUGACGCAGCGACGCCGCGUGAGGGACGACGGCCUUCGGGUUGUAAACCUCUUUCAGCAGGGACGAAGCGCAAGUGACGGUACCUGCAGAAGAAGCACCGGCUAACUACGUGCCAGCAGCCGCGGUAAUACGUAGGGUGCAAGCAUUGUCCGGAUUUAUUGGGCGUAAAGAGCUCGUAGGCGGUCUGCCACGUCGGAUGUGAAAACUCGGGGCUCAACCCCGAGCCUGCAUCCGAUACGGGCAGACUCGAGUGUUGCAGGGGAGACUGGAAUUCCUGGUGUAGCGAUGAAAUGCGCAGAUAUCAGGAGGAACACCGGUGGCGAAGGCGGGUCUCUGGGCAACUACUGACGCUGAGGAGCGAAAGCGUGGGGAGCAAACA
rnacentral:rRNA from 1 species